rnacentral:rRNA from 1 species
GACGAACGCUGGCGGCGUGCUUAACACAUGCAAGUCGAACGGAAAGGCCCUGCUUUUGUGGGGUGCUCGAGUGGCGAACGGGUGAGUAACACGUGAGUAACCUGCCCUUGACUUUGGGAUAACUUCAGGAAACUGGGGCUAAUACCGGAUAGGAGCUCCUGCUGCAUGGUGGGGGUUGGAAAGUUUCGGCGGUUGGGGAUGGACUCGCGGCUUAUCAGCUUGUUGGUGGGGUAGUGGCUUACCAAGGCUUUGACGGGUAGCCGGCCUGAGAGGGUGACCGGCCACAUUGGGACUGAGAUACGGCCCAGACUCCUACGGGAGGCAGCAGUGGGGAAUAUUGCACAAUGGGCGUAAGCCUGAUGCAGCAACGCCGCGUGCGGGAUGACGGCCUUCGGGUUGUAAACCGCUUUCGCCUGUGACGAAGCGUGAGUGACGGUAAUGGGUAAAGAAGCACCGGCUAACUACGUG